UGUCUUCAGGGCGGGGCGAAAUUCCCCACCGGCGGUAAAGUCCGCGAACGCGCAAGCGCCGAAUCGGUGUGAUUCCGAUACCGACAGUAUAGUCUGGAUGGAAGAAGAU
rnacentral:ncRNA from 1 species